AUUGAACGCUGGCGGCAGGCUUAACACAUGCAAGUCGAGCGGGGAAGGUUGCUUCGGUAACUGACCUAGCGGCGGACGGGUGAGUAAUGCUUAGGAAUCUGCCUAUUAGUGGGGGACAACGUUCCGAAAGGAACGCUAAUACCGCAUACGCCCUACGGGGGAAAGCAGGGGAUCUUCGGACCUUGCGCUAGUAGAUGAGCCUAAGUCGGAUUAGCUAGUUGGUGGGGUAAAGGCCUACCAAGGCGACGAUCUGUAGCGGGUCUGAGAGGAUGAUCCGCCACACUGGGACUGAGACACGGCCCAGACUCCUACGGGAGGCAGCAGUGGGGAAUAUUGGACAAUGGGCGGAAGCCUGAUCCAGCCAUGCCGCGUGUGUGAAGAAGGCCUUUUGGUUGUAAAGCACUUUAAGCGAGGAGGAGGCUCCUUUAGUUAAUACCUAAAGUGAGUGGACGUUACUCGCAGAAUAAGCACCGGCUAACUCUGUGCCAGCCGCCGCGGUAA
rnacentral:rRNA from 1 species